GACAGAGGGUGCAAACGUUGUUCGGAAUUACUGGGCGUAAAGCGCAUGUAGGCGGUUCGUAAAGUCAGAUGUGAAAGCCCUGGGCUUAACCCAGGAAGUGCAUUUGAAACUCACGAACUUGAGUCCCGGAGAGGAAGGCGGAAUUCUCGGUGUAGAGGUGAAAUUCGUAGAUAUCGAGAGGAACAUCGGUGGCGAAGGCGGCCUUCUGGACGGUGACUGACGCUGAGGCACGAAGGCCAGGGGAGCAAACGGG
rnacentral:rRNA from 1 species